rnacentral:rRNA from 1 species
GCAGUCGACGGUGAAGAGGAGCUUGCUCCUCUGGAUCAGUGGCGAACGGGUGAGUAACACGUGAGUAACCUGCCCUUGACUCUGGGAUAAGCACUGGAAACGGUGUCUAAUACCGGAUACGAGCUUCAGUCGCAUGACUAGGAGCUGGAAAGAAUUUCGGUCAAGGAUGGACUCGCGGCCUAUCAGCUAGUUGGUGAGGUAAUGGCCCACCAAGGCGACGACGGGUAGCCGGCCUGAGAGGGUGACCGGCCACACUGGGACUGAGACACGGCCCAGACUCCUACGGGAGGCAGCAGUGGGGAAUAUUGCACAAUGGGCGCAAGCCUGAUGCAGCAACGCCGCGUGAGGGACGACGGCCCUCGGGUUGUAAACCUCUUUUAGUAGGGAAGAAGCGAAAGUGACGGUACCUGCAGAAAAAGCACCGGCUAACUACGUGCCAGCAGCCGCGGUAAUACGUAGGGUGCAAGCGUUAUCCGGAAUUAUUGGGCGUAAAGAGCUCGUAGGCGGUUUGUCGCGUCUGCUGUGAAAACUGGAGGCUCAACCUCCAGCCUGCAGUGGGUACGGGCAGACUAGAGUGCGGUAGGGGAGAUUGGAAUUCCUGGUGUAGCGGUGGAAUGCGCAGAUAUCAGGAGGAACACCGAUGGCGAAGGCAGAUCUCUGGGCCGUAACUGACGCUGAGGAGCGAAAGCAUGGGGAGCGA